UACAGAGGUCCCGAGCGUUGUUCGGAUUCACUGGGCGUAAAGGGUGCGUAGGUGGCUUGGUAAGUUUGAUGUGAAAGCUCAGGGCUCAACCCUGAAAUGGCAUUGAAUACCACUGAGCUGGAGGUUUGGAGGGGGGACUGGAAUUCUCGGUGUAGCAGUGAAAUGCGUAGAUAUCGAGAGGAACACCAGUGGCGAAGGCGAGUCCCUGGACAACACCUGACACUGAGGCACGAAAGCUAGGGGAGCAAACAGG
rnacentral:rRNA from 1 species